AUUGAACGCUGGCGGCAGGCCUAACACAUGCAAGUCGAGCGAGCGGCGGACGGGUGAGUAAUGUAUGGGGACUGCCCGAUAGAGGGGGAUAACUACUGGAAACGGUGGCUAAUACCGCAUACUAUCGGAUAACCCAUAUGGGAUUAGCUAGUAGGUGGGGUAACGGCUCACCUAGGCGACGAUCCCUAGCUGGUCUGAGAGGAUGAUCAGCGACGCAUGGACUAGGACACGGCCCAGACUCCUACGGAGGAGGCAGUAGGGAAUAUUGCACAAGGGGCGCAAGCCUGAUGCAGCCAUGCCGCGUGUAUGGAGAAGGCCUUAGGGUUUUAAAGUACUUUCAGCUGGGAGGCGUUACCCGCAGAAGAAGCACCGACUAACUCCGUGCCAGCAGCCGCGGUAAUUC
rnacentral:rRNA from 1 species